CGGGAGGCAGCAGUAGGGAAUCUUCCACAAUGGACGCAAGUCUGAUGGAGCAACGCCGCGUGGAUGAAGAAGGUCUUCGGAUCGUAAAAUCCUGUUGUUGAAGAAGAACGGUUGUGAGAGUAACUGCUCAUAACGUGACGGUAAUCAACCAGAAAGUCACGGCUAACUACGUGCCAGCAGCCGCGGUAAUACGUAGGUGGCAAGCGUUGUCCGGAUUUAUUGGGCGUAAAGGGAGCGCAGGCGGUCUUUUAAGUCUGAAUGUGAAAGCCCUCAGCUUAACUGAGGAAGAGCAUCGGAAACUGAAAGACUUGAGUGCAGAAGAGGAGAGUGGAACUCCAUGUGUAGCGGUGAAAAUGCGUAGAUAUAUGGAAGAACACCAGUGGCGAAGGCGGCUCUCUGGUCUGUUACUGACGCUGAGGCUUCGAAAGCCAUGGGUAGCGAACCAGGAUUAGAUACCCUGGUAGUCCAUGCCGUAAAACGAUGAGUGCUAAAGUGUUGGGAGGUUUCCGCCUCUCAGUGCUGCAGCUAACGCAUUAAGCACUCCGCCUGGGGAGUACGACCGCAAGGUUGAAACUCAAAGGAAUUGACGGGGGCCCGCACAAGCGGUGGAGCAUGUGGUUUAAUUCGAAGCAACGCGAAGAACCUUACCAGGUCUUGACAUCUCCUGCAAGCCUAAGAGAUUAGGGGUUCCCUUCGGGGACAGGAAGACAGGUGGUGCAUGGUUGUCGUCAGCUCGUGUCGUGAGAUGUUGGGUUAAGUCCCGCAACGAGCGCAACCCUUGUUACUAGUUGCCAGCAUUAAGUUGGGCACUCUAGUGAGACUGCCGGUGACAAACCGGAGGAAGGUGGGGACGACGUCAAAUCAUCAUGCCCCUUAUGACCUGGGCUACACACGUGCUACAAUGGAUGGUACAAUGAGAAGCGAACUCGCGAGGGGAAGCUGAUCUCUGAAAACCAUUCUCAGUUCGGAUUGCAGGCUGCAACUCGCCUGCAUGAAGCUGGAAUCGCUAGUAAUCGCGGAUCAGCAUGCCGCGGUGAAUACGUUCCCGGGCCUUGUACA
rnacentral:rRNA from 2 species